rnacentral:lncRNA from 1 species
CAAAAGAGAGCUACACCACAAAUGUCCGCAUUGUUAUUCAAAACUUACUGCAUGUGUGCAAUCUUUUGCAAAAGAGCUGAUUUAUUUGCUUCCUAACAUCAAUUCUUUGUUCCUUCUCAUUGGACAGGAAAAAAGCAAGUUCGCUGCCUUGUUGCAGCUCUGUUCACACUCGUCCACCAAAAUUGUAUAAAAUAGAUCAGUAAUAGUUUUCUUAACAGAUUACAGCACAAGGAAAGACCAAAACCUGGAUGGAAAUUUAGCAACGACGACGUCCUCCGUGAUGUGCCAUCUGACCCAUAUCCACUCACAGGCUUCUCAAAGCCAAAGCAGAGGCGGUUUGAAUCCCUGGAGGUGGCACAGCCUAUUAGCCAGGUCUUCUCCACUGCACACCUUGUGCGUCCGGUGACUCGCACCGUUGUCCAUUCCUCAACUUUUUUUCCAAAAUGCAUACUGCACCUGUGCCUAGUGUAAGCCUUAGUUGAGUGAUCUGGAUCUCCAUCCAUAUGUAAUUGCUUUCAAGAGAAAGAUCCUACCUUUAAAAGGAGAGGCGUCUCAAUUGUUUUCAAGAGUUUCCUCUUCUUUUAGUUCUCCACAUCAGUGAGAAAUUCAUCAUGUUGUAGACAUUGCGAUCGAUUUAUGAUAGAUUAUGAGUCCUGUCAGGGUCUGAACUUGUGCUUUGAUCUCUAGUUCUAAAUACAGCUGCAUUGUGUAUUCAUCUUUUCACUUUGUAUUCACCCUCCCCUUGCAUGCAUACAGGCUCAUAGAUCGAAGAGCGUAGAUGUUUUCUAUAUCUUAUUGCAGGAGGUAUUAAAACAAGGCUCACGAAAGAGGAAAGUGAAUAAUAUUGGGGCAUCUGAUGGGACAUUGACUUUUUAGAGAACAAUCUCUUUUAUGUUGAGGCUUUGAGAGGUGGAGAUAUUUAC